rnacentral:rRNA from 1 species
CGUAGGUGGCAAGCGUUAUCCGGAAUUAUUGGGCGUAAAGAGCGCGCAGGUGGUUGAUUAAGUCUGAUGUGAAAGCCCACGGCUUAACCGUGGAGGGUCAUUGGAGACUGGUCGACUUGAGUGCAGAAGAGGGAAGUGGAAUUCCAUGUGUAGCGGUGAAAUGCGUAGAGAUAUGGAGGAACACCAGUGGCGAAGGCGGCUUCCUGGUCUGUAACUGACACUGAGGCGCGAAAGCGUGGGGAGCAAACAGGAUUA